rnacentral:rRNA from 1 species
AUUGAACGCUGGCGGCAGGCCUAAUACAUGCAAGUCGAACGGUAACAUAAAAGAAGCUUGCUUCUUUUGAUGACGAGUGGCGGACGGGUGAGUAAUAUUUGGGAAACUACCUGAUAGAGGGGGACAACAGUUGGAAACGACUGCUAAUACCGCAUAAAGCCUGAGGGUGAAAGCAGCAAUGCGCUAUCAGAUGUGCCCAAACGGGAUUAGCUAGUAGGUGAGGUAAAGGCUCACCUAGGCGACGAUCUCUAGCUGGUCUGAGAGGAUGAUCAGCCACAUUGGGACUGAGACACGGCCCAGACUCCUACGGGAGGCAGCAGUAGGGAAUAUUGCACAAUGGAGGAAACUCUGAUGCAGCCAUGCCGCGUGUGUGAAGAAGGCCUUCGGGUUGUAAAGCACUUUCGGAGGGGAGGAAAAGAGUGACGUUACCCUC